rnacentral:rRNA from 1 species
GAAAGACGCUGGCGGUAGGCCUAACACAUGCAAGUCAACGGCAGCACAAGAGAGCUUGCUCUCUUCGUGGCGAGUGGCGGACGGGUGAGGAAUACAUCGGAAUCUACUCUGUCGUGGGGGAUAACGUAGGGAAACUUACGCUAAUACCGCAUACGACCUACGGGUGAAAGCAGGGGACCUUCGGGCCUUGCGCGAUUGAAUGAGCCGAUGUCGGAUUAGCUAGUUGGCGGGGUAAAGGCCCACCAAGGCGACGAUCCGUAGCUGGUCUGAGAGGAUGAUCAGCCACACUGGAACUGAGACACGGUCCAGACUCCUACGGGAGGCAGCAGUGGGGAAUAUUGGACAAUGGGCGCAAGCCUGAUCCAGCCAUACCGCGUGGGUGAAGAAGGCCUUCGGGUUGUAAAGCCCUUUUGUUGGGAAAGAAAUCCAGCUGGCUAAUACCCGGUUGGGAUGACGGUACCCAAAGAAUAAGCACCGGCUAACUUCGUGCCAGCAGCCGCGGUAAUACGAAGGGUGCAAGCGUUACUCGGAAUUACUGGGCGUAAAGCGUGCGUAGGUGGUCGUUUAAGUCCGUUGUGAAAGCCCUGGGCUCAACCUGGGAACUGCAGUGGAUACUGGGCGACUAAAUGUGGUAAGGGUAGCGGAAUUCCUGGUGUACAUGAAUGCUAA